UACGAAGGGGGCUAGCGUUGCUCGGAAUCACUGGGCGUAAAGGGUGCGUAGGCGGGUCUUUAAGUCAGGGGUGAAAUCCUGGAGCUCAACUCCAGAACUGCCUUUGAUACUGAGGAUCUUGAGUUCGGGAGAGGUGAGUGGAACUGCGAGUGUAGCGGUGAAAUGCGUAGAUAUCUGGAGGAACACCGGUGGCGAAGGCGGCAUCCUGGACCGGUAUUGACGCUGAGGCGCGGAAAAGCUAGGGGGAGCAAACGGGGAUU
rnacentral:rRNA from 1 species